rnacentral:lncRNA from 1 species
AUUGCAGCUGCCUCUCCCGCCGAGUUGGAGACGGAUGGGCUGGGACGGGUUUUGGGGGGGUGUCCCCAAUUCUGACUGGGAGUGGAGGAACCCCUCCUGAGAUCUCUUGUGGGGGUGCCCCCUCCCCAGGGCACUCCCCAGUCCCUGAGCCAGCCGAGAGGAAGGAGGCCAGCGAUGCGACUGGGGCGGCUCCUUUCUCCUGCACCCCAAAUGUGAGGGAUGCACCCUAAAUUUUGCUCUUUUCAAAAUAGGGGACCAGGAUCUCAGGGGAGAGUAGCUGAGGCCUUGCUCGGAGUCCCAGGAGAUCCACAGGUCCGGCAUGAACAGUGAGAGGUCAGAGGUGGAAGGCUCAGCAGGAGAGGAGAGGAGGAUCAGCAGAGGUCAUGAGAAGGCCAGAAUCCAGGGUCAGGCUGUCUGGAACAGGAAGUAAAAUGGGCCGAGAUGGAGCGAGCCCCCAGUGUGCUUCCAAGGCCACUCCCACCUCCCUGAAACACCCUGCUACGUACUGAUCCAAUGCCCUGCGCUGUGUAUGAGAGCACCUUCUCUUCUGAAACCCCUAUACAAGGGAGGGGCCCCUGCGGAGACCGUGCCCUGCCAUCCAGGUCACCUUGCCUUCAGGGACCUGGGCUUUCAGCUGUCCAUACCUGGCCCUGGUUGAUGGCGGCAUGCUGGGCAGUGCACGUGAAGACGCACAUGAGACAGCAUCUCGUAUGUUGCCCAGGCUGGCCUUGAAAGCCUGGCCUCAAGCCAUCUUCCUGCCUCAGCCUCCCAAGUAGCUGGGAUCACAGGGUUGUGGCAUCACAGCUGGCUAUAUUCUUAACAUUAUUUUGUAACCAUUCCAACCCCCAGAAAUUUCUCUCUGGCUGACUUGAUCCACAGCGCCUCCAUCGCCAUCCCUGAGUGCCUUGUUGUGGAAAAUCUUACUUUAUCUUGGUUCUGUUUGGUAUAAUCGGGGAAAGUCUGUAUUCUUUCAUUAUGUAAAACAACUUAUCUCUCA